rnacentral:rRNA from 1 species
GACGAACGCUGGCGGCGUGCUUAACACAUGCAAGUCGAACGGAAAGGCCCUGCUUUUGUGGGGUGCUCGAGUGGCGAACGGGUGAGUAACACGUGAGUAACCUGCCCUUGACUUUGGGAUAACUUCAGGAAACUGGGGCUAAUACCGGAUAGGAGCUCCUGCUGCAUGGUGGGGGUUGGAAAGUUUCGGCGGUUGGGGAUGGACUCGCGGCUUAUCAGCUUGUUGGUGGGGUAGUGGCUUACCAAGGCUUUGACGGGUAGCCGGCCUGAGAGGGUGACCGGCCACAUGGGGACUGAGGUACGGCCCAGACGCCUACGGGAGGCAGCGGUGGGGAAUAUUGCACAAUGGGCGGAAGCCUGAUGAAGCAACGCCGCGUGCGGGAUGACGGCCUUCGGGUUGUAAACCGCUUUCGCCUGUGACGAAGCGUGAGUGACGGUAAUGGGUAAAGAAGCACCGGCUAACUACGUG